GUUUCAGAUAGAGGGACAUGGCCAACGGUUUGCUUACUGGAGCGAUGAAGCUGUUGAGUUGUUGCAAGGCACUCUUCAGCCUCUUUUUAGAGUGUCUGGGCAAAUCUCUUCAACUGUCCCAUCUCACAUGCAAGCUGUGAGUGACCGGGUGACAGAUGAGAAGAAGCUGGUAGACUUCAUUGUAGAAGCACAAGGCUCCCAGCAGCAUUUGUCGAGGAUACUCCGUGGUAAUGAGCCUUCUAAGUGGCUGGAUAGAUUCCAGGAAAAGUCAUCUUUCCGAGUGCCUGUGUA